UACGUAGGGUGCAAGCGUUAAUCGGAAUUACUGGGCGUAAAGCGUGCGCAGGCGGUGAUGUAAGACAGUUGUGAAAUCCCCGGGCUCAACCUGGGAACUGCAUCUGUGACUGCAUUGCUGGAGUGCGGCAGAGGGGGAUGGGAAUUCCGCGUGUAGCAGUGAAAUGCGUAGAUAUGCGGAGGAACACCGAUGGCGAAGGCAAUCCCCUGGGCCUGCACUGACGCUCAUGCACGAAAGCGUGGGGAGCAAACAGG
rnacentral:rRNA from 1 species